AUUGAACGCUGGCGGCAGGCCUCACACAUGCAAGUCGAACGAGUGGCGGACGGGUGAGUAAUGCCUGGGAAGAUACCUUAUGGAGGGGGAUAACUACUGGAAACGGUAGCUAAUACCGCAUACCAUCGGAUGAGCCAAGAUGGGAUUAGUUUGUUGGUGGGGUAACGGCGCACAAAGGCGACGAUCGCUAGCUGGUCUGAGAGGAUGACCAGCCACACUGGAACUGAGACACUGUCCAGACUCCGACGGGAGGCAGCAGGGGGGAAUAUUGCACAAUGGGUGCAACCCUGACGCAGCCAUGCCGCGUGGAUGAAGAAGGCCUUCGGGUUGUAAAGUUCUGGCAGUGGGGAGGCGUUAACUGCAGAAGAAGCACCGGCUAACUCCGUGCCAGCAGCCGCGGUAAUUC
rnacentral:rRNA from 1 species